UACGUAGGGGCCUAGCGUUGUCCGGAAUUAUUGGGCGUAAAGAGCUCGUAGGCGGUUCGGCAAGUCGGAUGUGAAAUCUCCACGCUUAACGUGGAGGGGCCAUUCGAAACUGCUGUGACUCGAGUCCGGUAGGGGAGUGUGGAAUUCCCGGUGUAGCGGUGAAAUGCGCAGAUAUCAUUUGGAACGCCAACGGUGAAAACAGGUAGCUGGGAGUGUGCUGACGCUGAGACACGAAAGCCAGGGGAGCAAACGGG
rnacentral:rRNA from 1 species